GGAACCUGCCCCGAAGACCGGGAUAACCCUCCGAAAGGAGAGCUAAUACCGGAUACCCCACCUGAUCGCAUGAUCGGGUGAGGAAAUGGAUUCCGCUUCGGGAGGGCCUCGCGGCCUAUCAGCUGUGUGGGGUAAGGCCCACCAAGGCAUCACGGGUAGCUGGUCUGAGAGGACGAUCAGCCACACUGGGACUGAGACACGGCCCAGACUCCUACGGGAGGCAGCAGUGGGGAAUCUUGCGCAAUGGGCGAAAGCCUGACGCAGCAACGCCGCGUGGGGAUGAAGGCUCUCGGGUUGUAAACCCCUUUCAGCAGGGACGAAUCAAGACGGUACCUGCAGAAGAAGCCCCGGCUAACUACGUG
rnacentral:rRNA from 1 species